ensembl:lncRNA
UAUAUUAUGUGCCAGGAUGCAAGUAGUGGCAAAUUAGGCACCGUUCUUGCUUUCAUGAAACGUAUAGCUUCAUGAUUUAGUCUAGACAUUGUCAAAUCAUCACCCAAAUAUAAUUACAAAGUACUCUAAAGGAAAGGCACAUGAUGCUCUGAGAACAUUCACCUGCGAAACCUGAAUCACCUUUGAGAAACUGUUUCAGGGGCUCUUGGAAGUCUACUGCUCCCAAAUAUCUCUGCUACCCACUGGCCAUUGCUUUACAUUCCUCAACUUAGCUUUCAUCUUUUAGUGCUAACCUUUGAUGGCUGAUCAAAUACAAAUGCCCCAAGAAGAGUAAGGAUACGAGAAGGAAUAUCUGUACCUGUGAAACAUUGUUAGGCUGCCUGGCUAUGAGUUCAUUGUUGUUUUCUGAAGGACAUAACCAACCACUCCAAAACGUAUAGGCUUAAAACAACAAACAUGUAUCAUUUCUUAUGAUUCUGUGGGUUGGCUGGGUGGUUCUUCUGGCUGAGGCAGGAUGGUCUAGGAUAGCUACAUCCAUAUGUCUGGGGUCCCAGCUGAGAUGACUGGGGCUGUUGAGGCCUUUCUCCCUGUGGUGUCAUCCUCCAGAAGGCUGCCCAGAUUUGUCCAUAUGGUGGCAGGAGUUUCCUCAAAGCAAGAGAGGGCAAGACCCAACACAGAAGCACUUUUCAAGCUCUGUUUCCAUCACAUUUGCAAAUGUCUCACUGAUGAACACAAGUUCCCUGGCCAAGCCCAGUUUUAAGAAAUGGAGAAAUAGGGCUAGGCUUGGUGGCUCAGGCCUGUAAUCCCAACAUUUUGGGAGGCCGAGGCAUGCGGAUCACUUGAGGUCAGGAGUUCUAGACCAGCCUGGCCAACAUGGUGAAACCCCGUCUCUACUAAAAAUACAAAAAUUAGCUGGGCGUGGUGGCGGGCAUCUGUAAUCCCAGCUACUCGGGAGGCUAAAGCACAAGAGUUGCUUGAAGCCAGGAGGAGGAGGUUGCAAUAAGCCUAAAUCAUGCCACUGCACUUCAGCCGGGUGAUAGAGCCAGACUCAGUCUCAAAAAAAAAAAAAAAAAAAAAGGGGAAUAGAUGCCAUCUCCUUAUGGGAGGAGCUACAAAAUACAGUGACCAAUUUUUCAAUCUACCACAGGAAGCAUCCUCAGUUCUCUGAAACUAUGUCUGGUACGUGUCUUGGGGUCUUAAAACAUGGCUCUGAUGGUAUCACCAAAGACAAGUGGCAAAAUCGUUUAGGGCAGGGCAGUCUUAUCAUUAGUAGUUAGCCGAAGGAUUUACUUUGGAGGAAUCAAGACACUUCUAGAUGAAGAAGUUUUGAUGCUUGUUAAACAGUCCAUUUGGAUACUUCUUAGCUAUCCUCGAGGGAUGAAUCUGACUUCUCAUUUCACAGGAUUCACCGUAGAUAAUGGUUGUAAUUCCUACCUGAAGUUCCUGGCCAGAAGCCCAGCAGAAAGAUUCAGUAUAUGCAGAAAAGAUGACUCCAAAAACAGUUGGGCCUUCUGUUCUAACUGUACUUCCUUCCUUGACGUACUCGUCUAGUCUCGAGGCUUUAAAUGUCAAGCCUUUGAUAAUAACAUGUGUACCUAAGUGCCUACUGGACAUUUUCAUGUCUCAAACUUAACAUGUCCAAAUUGAAACUUGUGAUUCUGUCCCCAAACUUGUUUGAACCCCAGUCUUCACAGAAAACUGGGUGCCAUCCUUAAUUCUCUGAUUUUUCUCUUUUUCUUAGCCUCCUUGUCUAAUCUAGCAGCAGAUCCUAGGGUUUUACUUCUAAAUAUAUCUCAAAUCUGAUCAUUUUUCUCCAUUUUCAUUGCCAUGACCUUGGUCCAGGCCACCAUUGUUUUCUGCCCUAGAGAGCUACCACAGAGUUCCUAACGUUUCCCUACUCGCAUAAUUACUCCCCAUUAGUCCAUUUCUCUCACAGGAGCAACUCUCUCUAUAUAUAUUAUUUAUGUAUUUAUUUUUUGUAGAGACAAAGUCUUGCUAUGUUGCCCAAGCUGGUUUCAAAUUCUGGCCUCAAGCGAUCCUCUUGCCUUGGCCUCCUGAGUCACUCGGAUUGUUUGUAUGAGCCACCUCAAUGGCAAUCUCUUAAAAAUCUAAAUAAAUGAACAGCUCAGUAACACUGAGGUUUACUUCAAUACCCCAUACGAAAACAAUCCAAACCUUGGCAAGGUGGUGAAACCCUGUCUCUACAAAAAAUACAAAAAAUUAAUUGGGCAUGGUAGCCUGCACCUAUAGUCUCAGCUACUUGGGAGGCUGAGGUGGGAGGAUCGCUUGAGCCCUGGAGGUCAAGAAUACAGUGAGCCAUAUCCAUGAUUGUACUCCUGUGCCACUCCAGCCUGGGUGACAGAGCAAGACCCUGUCCCCCUCUCAAAAGAAAAA